GAUGAACGCUGGCGGCGUGCCUAAUACAUGCAAGUCGAGCGAACAGAUAAGGAGCUUGCUCCUUUGACGUUAGCGGCGGACGGGUGAGUAGCACGUGGGUAACCUACCUAUAAGACUGGGAUAACUUCGGGAAACCGGAGCUAAUACCGGAUAAUAUUUCGAACCGCAUGGUUCGAUAGUGAAAGAUGGUUUUGCUAUCACUUAUAGAUGGACCCGCGCCGUAUUAGCUAGUUGGUAAGGUAACGGCUUACCAAGGCGACGAUACGUAGCCGACCUGAGAGGGUGAUCGGCCACACUGGAACUGAGACACGGUCCAGACUCCUACGGGAGGCAGCAGUAGGGAAUCUUCCGCAAUGGGCGAAAGCCUGACGGAGCAACGCCGCGUGAGUGAUGAAGGUCUUUGGAUCGUAAAACUCUGUUAUUAGGGAAGAACAUACGUGUAAGUAACUAUGCACGUCUUGACGGUACCUAAUCAGAAAGCCACGGCUAACUACGUGCCAGCAGCCGCGGUAAUACGUAGGUGGCAAGCGUUAUCCGGAAUUAUUGGGCGUAAAGCGCGCGUAGGCGGUUUUUUAAGUCUGAUGUGAAAGCCCACGGCUCAACCGUGGAGGGUCAUUGGAAACUGGAAAACUUGAGUGCAGAAGAGGAAAGUGGAAUUCCAUGUGUAGCGGUGAAAUGCGCAGAGAUAUGGAGGAACACCAGUGGCGAAGGCGACUUUCUGGUCUGUAACUGACGCUGAUGUGCGAAAGCGUGGGGAUCAAACAGGAUUAGAUACCCUGGUAGUCCACGCCGUAAACGAUGAGUGCUAAGUGUUAGGGGGUUUCCGCCCCUUAGUGCUGCAGCUAACGCAUUAAGCACUCCGCCUGGGGAGUACGACCGCAAGGUUGAAACUCAAAGGAAUUGACGGGGACCCGCACAAGCGGUGGAGCAUGUGGUUUAAUUCGAGGCAACGCGAAGAACCUUACCAAAUCUUGACAUCCUUUGACAACUCUAGAGAUAGAGCCUUCCCCUUCGUGGGACAAAGUGACAGGUGGUGCAUGGUUGUCGUCAGCUCGUGUCGUGAGAUGUUGGGUUAAGUCCCGCAACGAGCGCAACCCUUAAGCUUAGUUGCCAUCAUUAAGUUGGGCACUCUAAGUUGACUGCCGGUGACAAACCGGAGGAAGGUGGGGAUGACGUCAAAUCAUCAUGCCCCUUAUGAUUUGGGCUACACACGUGCUACAAUGGACAAUACAAAGGGCAGCGAAACCGCGAGGUCAAGCAAAUCCCAUAAAGUUGUUCUCAGUUCGGAUUGUAGUCUGCAACUCGACUACAUGAAGCUGGAAUCGCUAGUAAUCGUAGAUCAGCAUGCUACGGUGAAUACGUUCCCGGGUCU
rnacentral:rRNA from 1 species